UGCGGAAAGAGUGAGGGAUGACAGAUGGACAGCCUUUGUGCUCUACUCCUAUUGGCUCAAUCAACAUCAAGACAACUCCAGGAAGGUCCCUAGCAGGUGACUGAUUAUUGAAUAUGUCUACAACUCUGUGAGCUUUGAAAGGUCAGAGGAGUGAGCUGCCAGAAGUCCAGGAAUCAGACACCACAUGGCAGGAUAGUCCUGAGAAGUGACCUGCUUGCCCAAGGCCCACAACAUAUAACCCUGAGAUGCCGUGUCUGCUACAUUUAGAUGUAAACUUGAUGAGGCGACUGAGCCCCAGAAAGGAAGAGCAGCAGAGGAAGCAUUUGAACUCAAGUCUUCUCUCUUCAGGUUCAGUGACCUUUGCCUCUUGUUACAUUGUUGUUUGUCCAUCAUUCUUGAAGAAGACCAUGA